GAUGAACGCUGGCGGCGUGCCUAAUACAUGCAAGUCGAACGCAGUUGCGAACGGGUGAGUAACGCGUAGGUAACCGCCCCAUAGCGGGGGAUAACUAUCGGAAACGAUAGCUAAUACCGCAUACUGUGAGAUGGACCUGCGUUGGAUUAGCUAGUUGGUGAGGUAAAGGCUCACCAAGGCGACGAUACAUGGCCGACCUGGGAGGGUGGUCGGGCCCACUGGGACUGGGGAACGGCCCAGACUCCUACGGGAGGCAGCCGUGGGGAAUCUUCGGAAAUGGACUGAAGUCUGACGGAGCAACGCCGCGUGGGUGGAGAAAGUUUUCGGGUCGUAAAGCUCUGUUGUUAGGGAAGCGGUACCUAACGAAAAAGGGACGGCUAACUACGUGCCAGCAGCCGCGGUAAUAC
rnacentral:rRNA from 1 species